rnacentral:rRNA from 1 species
CUACGGGGUGCUGCAGUGGGGAAUAUUGCACAAUGGAGGAAACUCUGAUGCAGCGACGCCGCGUGAGUGAAGAAGUAUUUCGGUAUGUAAAGCUCUAUCAGCAGGGAAGAUAGUGACGGUACCUGACUAAGAAGCACCGGCUAAAUACGUGCCAGCAGCCGCGGUAAUACGUAUGGUGCAAGCGUUAUCCGGAUUUACUGGGUGUAAAGGGAGUGUAGGUGGCAUGGCAAGUCAGAAGUGAAAGCCCAGGGCUCAACCCUGGGACUGCUUUUGAAACUGCCGAGCUAGAGUGCAGGGGAGGUAAGUGGAAUUCCUAGUGUAGCGGUGAAAUGCGUAGAUAUUAGGAGGAACACCAGCGGCGAAGGCGGCUUACUGGACUGUAACUGACACUGAGGCUCGAAAGCGUGGGGAGCAAACAGGAUUAGAUACCCCGGUAGUC